rnacentral:ribozyme from 13 species
UUUUUUUUUUUUUUUUUUUUUUUUUUUUUUUUUUCC